UACGUAGGGUGCGAGCGUUGUCCGGAAUUACUGGGCGUAAAGAGCUCGUAGGCGGUUUGUCGCGUCUGCCGUGAAAGUCCGGGGCUCAACUCCGGAUCUGCGGUGGGUACGGGCAGACUAGAGUGAUGUAGGGGAGACUGGAAUUCCUGGUGUAGCGGUGAAAUGCGCAGAUAUCAGGAGGAACACCGAUGGCGAAGGCAGGUCUCUGGGCCGCAACUGACGCUGAGGAGCGAAAGCAUGGGGAGCGAACAGG
rnacentral:rRNA from 1 species